rnacentral:rRNA from 1 species
GACGAACGCUGGCGGCGUGCUUAACACAUGCAAGUCGAACGAUGAACUUGGAGCUUGCUCUGGGGGAUUAGUGGCGAACGGGUGAGUAACACGUGAGUAACCCGCCCUGGACUCUGGGAUAACUUCGAGAAAUCGGAGCUAAUACCGGAUAGGACCUUGCACCGCAUGGUGUGGGGUGGAAAGUUUUUCGGUUUGGGAUGGACUCGCGGCCUAUCAGCUUGCUGGUGAGGUAAUGGCUCACCAAGGCGUCGACGGGUAGCCGGCCUGAGAGGGUGCCCGGCCACACUGUGACUGAGACACGGCCCAGACUCCUACGGGAGGCAGCAGUGGGGAAUAUUGCACAAUGGGCGCAAGCCUGAUGCAGCAACGCCGCGUGCGGGAUGACGGCCUUCGGGUUGUAAACCGCUUUUAGUAGGGAAGAAGCCUUCGGGUGACAGUACCUGCAGAAAAAGGACCGGCUAACUACGUGCCAGCCGCCGCAGUAAUAC